rnacentral:rRNA from 1 species
GACGAACGCUGGCGGCGUGCUUAACACAUGCCAGUCGAACGGAAAGGCCCUGCUUUUGUGGGGUGCUCGAGUGGCGAACGGGUGAGUAACACGUGAGUAACCUGCCCUUGACUUUGGGAUAACUUCAGGAAACUGGGGCUAAUACCGGAUAGGAGCUCCUGCUGCAUGGUGGGGGUUGGAAAGUUUCGGCGGUUGGGGAUGGACUCGCGGCUUAUCAGCUUGUUGGUGGGGUAGUGGCUUACCAAGGCUUUGACGGGUAGCCGGCCUGAGAGGGUGACCGGCCACAUUGGGACUGAGAUACGGCCCAGACUCCUACGGGAGGCAGCAGGGGGGAAGAUUGCACAAUGGGCGGAAGCCUGAUGCAGCAACGCCGCGUGCGGGAUGACGGCCUUCGGGUUGUAAACCGCUUUCGCCUGUGACGAAGCGUGAGUGACGGUAAUGGGUAAAGAAGCACCGGCUAACUACGUG